AACUAUCAAAACACUUUUAUUUCUUGAGGUGUUUUGGACUUUGGGAGUACUGUGCUGGUCUCUUUUUGAGCCAGCUCUCCUCAAAUGCAUUAACUUCGGAGACCCAUCAGUGUGAUAAUUUUGUUUAUACGCUGGCUUCUCCUUUUUUAAUUGCCCC
rnacentral:misc_RNA from 1 species